AUUUUGCGAAUCGCCAACAUUAUAAACGUCAAUCAUAACCGCGGCCUUAAGUAGGGGAAGUUCGUUUUGGCGUGGGGAAAAAUACUUCUGCAAAGUGAGCAAAUUACACAGCCAGCCAGCCAUCCGAAAGGGGGCUCGGAACCACAAGCAAGAGACCACUUUCAUUUUCGUUCGACCAGUUGCCGCGUGCGGAGUAGCGAUCCGCUACUCAGGAAACCAAAUACUACGCGAUCGCCAAGUCACAGUGACGUUCGUUUUAUGUUCGAGCGUUAAGUCAGUGAAAUUCCGAUUAUUUUUUGGCACGAAGAGUGUUGCAGAGAGUCCCGAGCGCACAGCGAAAGGAUAAAGUUCGAGAAAGUGGUGUGCCAGUACAUUUUACCAGUACAAAGUGUCCUCGUCAUCGCAUCCCACCCUCGAACAAAAAAAAAUACGGUCGACUUUAGUCGCGAAGGAAGUGCUGCAAACUAAUUCUGUCAUCGCCUGUAAUUAAUCACCUGCCAUUGUUUACGGCUACUACUGCUGCUGCUGCUGCGGGCUUUGCCUGCUAGUUGACAAGCAGAAGAACGUCACCGGGUAGUAAGAGGAUUACUACCUUCCGGGACAAGGAUCAAAUUAGGACACGCGUAACCAAGCACCGCCAAACGACAUCACAUUGCACCCAGGUUCCGAAAAGCGGACUCAACGACAACAUGAAGAUAACUCUAAUAUUACUUGUAACCCUACCAUUGCUGGUGCUAUCAACGCCAAUCGAUUCCUCAAGCAAUGCCUCCGUAGAAGACAUCGAUAGAUCCGAUCUCACGCGAGCCAAACGUUCCGGUUUCAGUCUUGUUUCCGGUCUUAAAAACACACUUCUAUCGGGAAUAGGACGAGCGUCGGCCUCGCUAGCAGCUAGCAGCGCCGGGACGGCAUCUUCUAGCAUUGCAAUGCACUCUUCGAGCGGAGGCUCCAGUGGAGGACACUCGUACGAAAAGCCACACUCCUACGAUAGUCCGCACUCGUACGAAAAGCCUCACGACGAUUCCCACUUCGAUGGCUGGGGCUUAAAAAAGUCCAUCCUCAACACGCUGUUUCAGGCGGUGAAGGCCAUCACCGGUGGCGUAACGAUACUGAAGGGUCAGCUAAUCAAGGGCUCCGGUUACGCGGUUAGCGGCGUCGGAAAAGUAAUCGCUGCCGGUGGCGAUGCCGUUUCAAACGUUGGCAAAAAGAUUACAACAUCGGCCCAUCUGGUACCGUCUUCCCACUCAGCUGUGCACCCAUUCGCCAAGCUAAGUGGUUCGCUGUCGUCCGGUUCGGCCGGUUUGGUCUCCGGUGCGUCGUCGUCUUCGUCGGGCUCGUCGUCAUCGUCUGGACAUCACACCGGACCAUCGGGUGAAAGUUUCACUAGCUAUGAAGCACCUCAUUACGAGUCUCACGGUCACGUGAGUGUCCCCUCAAGUGCAGCCUACAUUCCACCGAAGCAAUCGCACUACAAGACACCGCUGACUUCUUACGGAACAGAAAUUGAAGGAGAAGCAUACCCAACGGGCCCACAUUUUCUGCCAACUCCCAGCAAAUCCAAUGUCGUGGAGGCAUCCGAUGUGCUGCGGCAAAUUCUGAAUAAAAAAGUGCCACAGACGGGCUACAGCUAUAACAGCUACCAGCAAGCGACGGGACCUGGAAAGUACGAGAAGAAGGUCGUCUCCCAGCAUGACAUCCCAGUCGAAUCCUAUCCCCCACCAUUCAAGCCACUAAACACCAACAAAUACCUGCCACCGCUCUAUGGCCUCCCCCAUGGUCCAAUUGAAUCCGUUACCCAUUCCCAGUCCAUAACGACCUCUUUUGGCGCUGCGUACAACUCACCACAAGUGGAAGAAGUUGAGCAACAACCCCAGUAUCCACCUUCCUACGAUAUCUACCAUUCCAUGAGUGUCAAAAUGGCCGGUAAGAAAGACAAAACAGUUCACCAAUCACAUUCCAAUUUCCCCGACCCCCGGUCGAAGAAAACCUAUGGUAGUUCUUCGACCCAUCCACAUACCUAUUCCGUAUCCCAUUAUCUUUCCCCUCCCAAGCCGACGGCACUGACUACCGAACAAAAACACCUUCAACACCUGGACGACGAAGAAAUCCAUCGACAACAACUCCACGACUUGAGCUCAAAAUUCGGACCCGGUAUUGAGGUGCAAAAAUCAUUGACCUACGAAAUUAACGACCCAGUGGACGUCUCCAGCCUGGCAUCUUCUAUCCAUGACUUGAGUCGACGAUCUGACGACAAGCGAGAGCUGUUACAAAGUGACAAAGCCUCAAGCAGCAGCAGUAGCGGUGACAGUGACAGCAAGACUUUCACCAAGACGUAAAGACUGACCAAAACACUAUGUAGUAGGAUCUAGUGCAUUCCCCAACACAUUGGGCACCAAACUCCAGAUAAAGGCUAUGGUAAAAUCAAUGUAGCUUAAGUCGUUCCAGUUACUGUCAACCACCGUCAACAUCCGUAACAAGAGAUUUCAUUGCCGUCCAUAAAUCUGUAAAAAAGGAAUACUCACCACUUACAUCGAUCAUUUGAAUUCAUUCCGUUAAAGUUGUUUGUUUAACCACCAAACUCUUUUGAAAUUGAACUAAAUCAUCCAUAGAAAGCAGUCAUAAAUGCAACAAACAUCUAGUGAUAACAAUA